UACGUAGGGUGCGAGCGUUAAUCGGAAUUACUGGGCGUAAAGCGUGCGCAGGCGGUUGUGCAAGACAGAGGUGAAAUCCCCGGGCUUAACCUGGGAACUGCCUUUGUGACUGCACGGCUGGAGUGUGGUCAGAGGGGGGUAGAAUUCCACGGUGUAGCAGUGAAAUGCGUAGAUAUGUGGAGGAAUACCGAUGGCGAAGGCAGCCCCCUGGGAUAACACUGACGCUCAUGCACGAAAGCGUGGGGAGCGA
rnacentral:rRNA from 1 species